GAUGAAGAACGUAGCGAAAUGCGAUAAGUAAUGUGAAUUGCAGAAUUCCGUGAAUCAUCGAAUCUUUGAACGCAUAUUGCGCCCUCUGGCAUUCCGGGGGGCAUGCCUGUCCGAGCGUCAUUAUCACCCCUCAAGCCCUCGGCUUGGUGUUGGACGGUUUGGUGGAGGCCCCCUCGGGGGCUCCUGCCCCUCCCAAAGACAAGGACGGCGGCCUCGUUGGACCCCCGGUACACUGAGUUCUUCACGGGACACGUAUCGGACACAUGGGUUUACGGGACACGGUCUGCCUCCCCUCAGGGAGAAUCUUUCUAAGGUUGACCUCGGAUCAGGUAGGGAUACCCGCUGAACUUAAGCAUAUCAAUAAGCGGAGGA
rnacentral:misc_RNA from 1 species